CAAGACAUGAAGUUAGGUCAGCA
rnacentral:rRNA from 3 species